rnacentral:tRNA from 1 species
GCUCGUUUGGUGGAAUAGGUAGACACAGUAGACUUAAAAUCUAUUUAUUAUCGGUUCGAGUCCGGUAACGAGUA